CGGAGGGAAAUGCGCCAAACAAUUUCUAAUUACAAAUUCGCCAGAACACUUAACCCGUUUUUACCGGACAUACACGUACCCAAGCGUCCAGUACAAUUUCCAUACCUAAACAUAUACCAAACACCUUUCAGACAACAGCAAAGAGUCACAGGGGAUGAAAUUGGGGUAUAAAGUCAUGUUUUGAUUGCUGGACGGAAAAAGUUACCAUUUUGCCAGAAGUCCGGGCCGAUCUUAAGUAUGUAUGUACUCUUAGUCGACUUACUCUGCGCAGGAACAUUUAUCAAAACUCAAUGUAAUAUUAUUAAAUCCUUCUUGAUAAUAGAAUUUAAUAGAGCAGUGGAACGAAACGUUACCCCCAA